CAUACAUAAACACAUGGCUAUGGACUUGAAAGUCACUACUACAAUGAAGCUACUUCAGUUCAUUUUUUUUCUGGCUUCUUUCUCUCCUCAUUUUAUUACUGUGAUACUCCAGUAAAAUUCCCACUGUAAAACUAAGACUAGUUUAUGGGGCAGUUGUCAUCCACCCCACAUUCACAUUAUUUUCCCAAUUUCAAUUUCCUGAAAGGGCAAAUGUGAAUUCAAGAAAUGGAAAUGCAUAUCCAUUUCCCAAUAAAUAAAUCCUUGUUCUUCUUCUCACUCACAAACAUCCUCACCAUUUUCAAGAUCCCAUUUUUAUUUUUCUCCCACAAAAUAAUCCCAAUUCUCACAAGAACCUCUGCAGAUGCGGCGUCCGAUUCUUGGCGGGCUGCUCUUAAUCCUGUCAUUAUCACUCACCAUCGCCGGAUUUCGCCACGCGAUGGAGGUGGAGGAGACGAUGGUGCCAGUGGCGGCGGAGAUGAUGGUGGGGAGGAGGAAGCUGGGGGGAUUUCAGACAUGUGCUCUGUGCACUUGCUGCGGCGGCGGCGGCGGCGGAGGCAGAAGCUACUGUUUGGCGACGCCGUGCUGCUAUGCGAUUAAUUGCAAUAUCCCAAACAGGCCCUUUGGAUUCUGCUCUUUCACACCCAAGACUUGCAAUUGCUUUGGAUGCCAUCUCUAGGUUUUUGUAAUGUUGUAGUCAAGUGAGGAUUUGUUUUGUUUGUUUCUAAUUCAGCUUUUUCUGUUGGAAGAGACAGCUUAGUUAGGGACACUAGUAGAAGUGGCAUUGGCUUUGGGAUUAACGGUAAUAUUGUCUUGUUUAAGAAUUAAGUGGAUAGACUAUUUGUUAAUUUCAUACUA